CCUACGGGGGGCAGCAGUGAGGAAUAUUGGUCAAUGGGCGAGAGCCUGAACCAGCCAAGUCGCGUGAAGGAUGACGGCCCUACGGGUUGUAAACUUCUUUUGUCAGGGCGCAAUUGAGUCCACGUGUGGUCUUAGCGAGAGUACCUGAAGAAAAAGCAUCGGCUAACUCCGUGCCAGCAGCCGCGGUAAUACGUAGGUGGCAAGCGUUAUCCGGAUUUACUGGGUGUAAAGGGCGUGUAGGCGGGACUGCAAGUCAGAUGUUAAAACCAUGGGCUCAACCCAUGGCCUGCAUUUGAAACUGUAGUUCUUGAGUGUUGGAGAGGCAGGCGGAAUUCCGUGUGUAGCGGUGAAAUGCGUAGAUAUACGGAGGAACACCAGUGGCGAAGGCGGCCUGCUGGACAAUAACUGACGCUGAGGCGCGAAAGCGUGGGGAGCAAACAGGAUUAGAUACCCCAGUAGUC
rnacentral:rRNA from 1 species